rnacentral:rRNA from 1 species
UGGGGAAUUUUGCGCAAUGGGCGAAAGCCUGACGCAGCAACGCCGCGUGUGUGAUGAAGGUCUUCGGAUUGUAAAGCACUUUCGACCGGGACGAAACACCCUCCGUCAAUACCGGAGGGCUUGACGGUACCGGGAGAAGAAGCACCGGCUAACUCUGUGCCAGCAGCCGCGGUAAUACAGAGGGUGCAAGCGUUGUUCGGAAUUAUUGGGCGUAAAGCGCGUGUAGGCGGCAGUGCAAGUCGGGUGUGAAAGCCCUCGGCUCAACCGAGGAAGUGCGCCCGAAACUGCAUUGCUUGAGUACCGGAGAGGGUGGCGGAAUUCCCCAAGUAGAGGUGAAAUUCGUAGAUAUGGGGAGGAACACCUGUGGCGAAGGCGGCCACCUGGACGGAUACUGACGCUGAGACGCGAAAGCGUGGGUAGCAAACAGG